GGCUUCAUAGCUCAGUUGGUGGAGCAUCGCACUACUGAGUAACGCGGAGGUCAUGGGUUCAAAUCCCGUUGAAGCCA